UGGGGAAUCAUAGACAAUGGGCGCAAGCCUGAUCUUGCCAUGCCGCGUGAGCGAUGAAGGCCUUAGGGUUGUAAAGCUCUUUCACCCGUGAAGAUAAUGACGGUAGCGGGAGAAGAAGCCCCGGCUAACUCCGUGCCAGCAGCCGCGGUAAUACGGAGGGGGCUAGCGUUGUUCGGAAUUACUGGGCGUAAAGCGCACGUAGGCGGACCAUUAAGUCGGGGGUGAAAUCCCGGGGCUCAACCCCGGAACUGCCUUCGAUACUGGUGGUCUGGAGGUCGAGAGAGGCGAGUGGAAUUCCGAGUGUAGAGGUGAAAUUCGUAGAUAUUCGGAGGAACACCAGUGGCGAAGGCGGCUCGCUGGCUCGAUACUGACGCUGAGGUGCGAAAGCGUGGGGAGCAAAC
rnacentral:rRNA from 1 species